UACGUAGGGGGCAAGCGUUGUCCGGAUUUAUUGGGCGUAAAGAGCGUGUAGGCGGUUAGGUAGGUCCGUUGUGAAAACUCGAGGCUCAACCUCGAGACGCCGAUGGAAACCAUCUGACUAGAGUCCGGAAGAGGAGAGUGAAAUUCCUGGUGUAGCGGUGAAAUGCGCAGAUAUCAGGAAGAACACCCGUGGCUAAGGCGGCUCUCUAGUACGUGACUGACGCUGAGACGCGAAAGCGUGGGGAGCAAACAGG
rnacentral:rRNA from 1 species